CAAGGAGUCUCGGCAGAGUGCAGACAUAAAGGAGCCCUCCCCGUUUUCCAGGUGCAAGAGCAACAAGACAAUAUACAGGAUGUAGGCAAAGGAAGUGUCAAAGAGGACUACAAUGAGCAUGUCAUGAAGAUCAUUGUCCAUGGAAGUACAACACAAGAAGGCCCCACUCAUCCUGACGUGUUCAUCAUUACUGAGUGAACUAGGUUCUUCAUGAUUGUAGAGGUGUGGUAAACACUUGCCUUCUGCUCAUAUAUCUGAACCAUUUUGUUUUACUGACAGCUCUAAGUAAAUACUUAUUAACUAUGGUAGGUAGCUAUUUGAAACUGGUCUUGGAUCUUCCUUAACAUCUACAUGUUUUUAUAUUUUAUUAUGCUAGUGUUUUUCAAAUGGGGGUGUCUAAGCACUAGGGCCUCGCUGAUCUGAUAUUUAGUGAAAGGUUAGUUGGUGUGAAGCAGUACCCUCAACACCUCAAGGACUUUCAUGGUGAAAAACUCAAUAUGGACCCCUUUUUUUUUACACAGUGGAGGUUUUAUCCAACCUGAAUUGAAGUUGAUCAUUGUAAAUACAUUUCAGAACUGAUACAAGGGAUCAUUACAGAAUUGAACUGUCCUUUGUACAAUAUGUUGAUUCAUUCUGAUAGACUGAGCUUUUAAGAGAAAACAUCACUGUAAAAGUCAUUUUGGCACUUGAUUUUAUUUGGUUGGCAACAGAGGCUGAUUAAUGUGCAGUGUCUUAUCUGUUAACGCAACUGACUCAUUAUGUUACAAACACUGUAAGCAGUUUCAGAACUCUUGCACCAGUAAUGGAGAACAUUUUAAUAAAAAGUUGCUAUUUA